rnacentral:rRNA from 1 species
GAUUAACGCUAGCGGCAGGCCUAAUACAUGCAAGUUGUACGGGAUUAUUGGUAGCAAUACUGAUAUGAGAGUAGCGCACGGGUGCGUAACACGUAUGCAACCUACCUUUAACUGGGGAAUAGCCUUCCGAAAGGAAGAUUAAUACCGCAUAACAUUGCGAAACGACAUCGUUUUGCAAUUAAACCUACGGGGUUAGAGAUGGGCAUGCGUCCGAUUAGCUAGUUGGCGGGGUAAUAGCCCACCAAGGCAACGAUCGGUAGGGGUCUGAGAGGAUGAUCCCCACACUGGUACUGAGACACGGACCAGACUCCUACGGGAGGCAGCAGUAAGGAAUAUUGGACAAUGGGGGCAACCCUGAUCCAGCCAUGCCGCGUGAAGGAUGAAGGCCCUAUGGGUCGUAAACUUCUUUAUACGGGACAAAACCCCUCUACGUGUAGAGGGCUGA